rnacentral:rRNA from 1 species
GGGUUGUGAGGUUAAGCGACUAAGCGUACACGGUGGAUGCCCUGGCAGUCAGAGGCGAUGAAGGACGUGCUAAUCUGCGAUAAGCGUCGGUGAGGUGAUAUGAACCGUUAUAACCGGCGAUUUCCGAAUGGGGAAACCCAGUGUGUUUCGACACACUAUCAUUAACUGAAUCCAUAGGUUAAUGAGGCGAACCGGGGGAACUGAAACAUCUAAGUACCCCGAGGAAAAGAAAUCAACCGAGAUUCCCCCAGUAGCGGCGAGCGAACGGGGAGCAGCCCAGAGCCUGAAUCAGUGUGUGUGUUAGUGGAAGCGUCUGGAAAGGCGUGCGAUACAGGGUGACAGCCCCGUACACAAAAAUGCACAUACUGUGAGCUCGAUGAGUAGGGCGGGACACGUGGUAUCCUGUCUGAAUAUGGGGGACCAUCCUCCAAGGCUAAAUACUCCUGACUGACCGAUAGUGAACCAGUACCGUGAGGGAAAGGCGAAAAGAACCCCGGCGAGGGGAGUGAAAAAGAACCUGAAACCGUGUACGUACAAGCAGUGGGAGCCUCUUAAUGGGGUGACUGCGUACCUUUUGUAUAAUGGGUCAGCGACUUAUAUUCUGUAGCAAGGUUAACCGAAUAGGGGAGCCGAAGGGAAACCGAGUCUUAACUGGGCGUUAAGUUGCAGGGUAUAGACCCGAAACCCGGUGAUCUAGCCAUGGGCAGGUUGAAGGUUGGGUAACACUAACUGGAGGACCGAACCGACUAAUGUUGAAAAAUUAGCGGAUGACUUGUGGCUGGGGGUGAAAGGCCAAUCAAACCGGGAGAUAGCUGGUUCUCCCCGAAAGCUAUUUAGGUAGCGCCUCGUGAAUUCAUCUCCGGGGGUAGAGCACUGUUUCGGCAAGGGGGUCAUCCCGACUUACCAACCCGAUGCAAACUGCGAAUACCGGAGAAUGUUAUCACGGGAGACACACGGCGGGUGCUAACGUCCGUCGUGAAGAGGGAAACAACCCAGACCGCCAGCUAAGGUCCCAAAGUCAUGGUUAAGUGGGAAACGAUGUGGGAAGGCCCAGACAGCCAGGAUGUUGGCUUAGAAGCAGCCAUCAUUUAAAGAAAGCGUAAUAGCUCACUGGUCGAGUCGGCCUGCGCGGAAGAUGUAACGGGGCUAAACCAUGCACCGAAGCUGCGGCAGCGACACUAUGUGUUGUUGGGUAGGGGAGCGUUCUGUAAGCCUGUGAAGGUGUACUGUGAGGUAUGCUGGAGGUAUCAGAAGUGCGAAUGCUGACAUAAGUAACGAUAAAGCGGGUGAAAAGCCCGCUCGCCGGAAGACCAAGGGUUCCUGUCCAACGUUAAUCGGGCAGGGUGAGUCGACCCCUAAGGCGAGGCCGAAAGGCGUAGUCGAUGGGAAACAGGUUAAUAUUCCUGUACUUGGUGUUACUGCGAAGGGGGACGGAGAAGGCUAUGUUGGCCGGGCGACGGUUGUCCCGGUUUAAGCGUGUAGGCUGGUUUUCCAGGCAAAUCCGGAAAAUCAAGGCUGAGGCGUGAUGACGAGGCACUACGGUGCUGAAGCAACAAAUGCCCUGCUUCCAGGAAAAGCCUCUAAGCAUCAGGUAACAUCAAAUCGUACCCCAAACCGACACAGGUGGUCAGGUAGAGAAUACCAAGGCGCUUGAGAGAACUCGGGUGAAGGAACUAGGCAAAAUGGUGCCGUAACUUCGGGAGAAGGCACGCUGAUAUGUAGGUGAAGUCCCUUGCGGAUGGAGCUGAAAUCAGUCGAAGAUACCAGCUGGCUGCAACUGUUUAUUAAAAACACAGCACUGUGCAAACACGAAAGUGGACGUAUACGGUGUGACGCCUGCCCGGUGCCGGAAGGUUAAUUGAUGGGGUUAGCGGUAACGCGAAGCUCUUGAUCGAAGCCCCGGUAAACGGCGGCCGUAACUAUAACGGUCCUAAGGUAGCGAAAUUCCUUGUCGGGUAAGUUCCGACCUGCACGAAUGGCGUAAUGAUGGCCAGGCUGUCUCCACCCGAGACUCAGUGAAAUUGAACUCGCUGUGAAGAUGCAGUGUACCCGCGGCAAGACGGAAAGACCCCGUGAACCUUUACUAUAGCUUGACACUGAACAUUGAGCCUUGAUGUGUAGGAUAGGUGGGAGGCUUUGAAGUGUGGACGCCAGUCUGCAUGGAGCCGGCCUUGAAAUACCACCCUUUAAUGUUUGAUGUUCUAACGUUGGCCCCUGAUCGGGGUUGCGGACAGUGUCUGGUGGGUAGUUUGACUGGGGCGGUCUCCUCCUAAAGAGUAACGGAGGAGCACGAAGGUUGGCUAAUCCUGGUCGGACAUCAGGAGGUUAGUGCAAUGGCAUAAGCCAGCUUGACUGCGAGCGUGACGGCGCGAGCAGGUGCGAAAGCAGGUCAUAGUGAUCCGGUGGUUCUGAAUGGAAGGGCCAUCGCUCAACGGAUAAAAGGUACUCCGGGGAUAACAGGCUGAUACCGCCCAAGAGUUCAUAUCGACGGCGGUGUUUGGCACCUCGAUGUCGGCUCAUCACAUCCUGGGGCUGAAGUAGGUCCCAAGGGUAUGGCUGUUCGCCAUUUAAAGUGGUACGCGAGCUGGGUUUAGAACGUCGUGAGACAGUUCGGUCCCUAUCUGCCGUGGGCGCUGGAGAACUGAGGGGGGCUGCUCCUAGUACGAGAGGACCGGAGUGGACGCAUCACUGGUGUUCGGGUUGUCAUGCCAAUGGCACUGCCCGGUAGCUAAAUGCGGAAGAGAUAAGUGCUGAAAGCAUCUAAGCACGAAACUUGCCCCGAGAUGAGUUCUCCCUGACUCCUUGAGAGUCCUGAAGGAACGUUGAAGACGACGACGUUGAUAGGCCGGGUGUGUAAGCGCAGCGAUGCGUUGAGCUAACCGGUACUAAUGAACCGUGAGGCUUAACCUUACAACGCCGAAGGUGUUU